rnacentral:rRNA from 1 species
UGCAGUCGAGCGGAUGAAGGGAGCUUGCUCCUGGAUUCAGCGGCGGACGGGUGAGUAAUGCCUAGGAAUCUGCCUGGUAGUGGGGGAUAACGUCCGGAAACGGGCGCUAAUACCGCAUACGUCCUGAGGGAGAAAGUGGGGGAUCUUCGGACCUCACGCUAUCAGAUGAGCCUAGGUCGGAUUAGCUAGUUGGUGGGGUAAAGGCCUACCAAGGCGACGAUCCGUAACUGGUCUGAGAGGAUGAUCAGUCACACUGGAACUGAGACACGGUCCAGACUCCUACGGGAGGCAGCAGUGGGGAAUAUUGGACAAUGGGCGAAAGCCUGAUCCAGCCAUGCCGCGUGUGUGAAGAAGGUCUUCGGAUUGUAAAGCACUUUAAGUUGGGAGGAAGGGCAGUAAGUUAAUACCUUGCUGUUUUGACGUUACCAACAGAAUAAGCACCGGCUAACUUCGUGCCAGCAGCCGCGGUAAUACGAAGGGUGCAAGCGUUAAUCGGAAUUACUGGGCGUAAAGCGCGCGUAGGUGGUUCAGCAAGUUGGAUGUGAAAUCCCCGGGCUCAACCUGGGAACUGCAUCCAAAACUACUGAGCUAGAGUACGGUAGAGGGUGGUGGAAUUUCCUGUGUAGCGGU